rnacentral:tRNA from 1 species
GGAGGCGUAUCCAGCCUGGUGGCUGGCGCGGUCUUCAAAACCGUUGAACGGCAGGUCCUGUCGUUGGCGGGUUCGAUUCCCGUCCGCCUCCGCCA